GACGAACGCUGGCGGCGUGCUUAACACAUGCAAGUCGAGCGGUAAGGCCUCUUUGGGGGUACACGAGCGGCGAACGGGUGAGUAACACGUGGGUGACCUGCCCUCAGCUCUGGGAUAAGCCUGGAAACUGGGUCUAAUACUGGAUAUUCACUUCUCAUCGCAUGGUGGGUGGUGGAAAGUCCUGGGCUUGAUUGUCUGGGUUCGGCUGGGGAUGGGCCCGCGGCCUAUCAGCUUGUUGGUGGGGUGAUGGCCUACCAAGGCGACGACGGGUAGCCGGCCUGAGAGGGCGACCGGCCACACUGGGACUGAGACACGGCCCAGACUCCUACGGGAGGCAGCAGUGGGGAAUAUUGCGCAAUGGGCGGAAGCCUGACGCAGCGACGCCGCGUGGGGGAUGACGGCCUUCGGGUUGUAAACCUCUUUCGACCGGGACGAAGGGUGACUGACGGUACCGGUAGAAGAAGCACCGGCCAACUACGUGCCAGCAGCCGCCGUAACAC
rnacentral:rRNA from 1 species